UUCCCUUACCCUGACCCUAACCUUCCAACCGUUGAUUCCUGCAGCAAUCUUCCCUAAGGGAGACACCCCGGCUGUAGGCUCACUUCCUCUCCCAAGUCCCAUUCCUUUCACAAGAGUCAAAUCCCUACAGUGGAUUCCUGGACCGUUUUUUCUAAAAGAAGAUCCCAGUCCUCUGGCUUGCCCCUCCCGUCGUGACUCCCCGUUUCCUCUGGCUUACCUCUACUCUCUCUCUCUCUCAUUGUUUCUCACUGUUGCUGGUUAAUCGCUUCAGGAGCUAAGGGGGGAAAUGGCGAUGGGGAUAAGGGUGGAGAUAAACAGAGGUUACUACACUUGGCAUGUGGAUACCACCCAAGCAGCCUGUGCAGGGGUUGGAGGCUCAAGCAAAUCAGUAUUUGAUGGGUCUGAAUGAAAAUCUGAUGAAACAGAUGUUACUUGAAGCUGAGUGACUUUCUCAGGGUCAAGCAAAUAAGUAAAUGGAGGAGCCAGAAUUAUACCCCAGAAAGCUAUGUGCUGGCAAACUGGCCUCUACAGUUCAAGGUUGGAGAACCCCAGCCAAUGCCCCGAGGGUGGGACAGAACCUAGGCGCCAAGCAGUAUCCUCAGGCUGCAAUUUGCUGGACACACAGAGUCCUGUUCUGCAACCUCCCCCUACGUUGUGGCUCAUUGCUUACCUUCUGACUCAGCUCUGAAAAACUAGCUCCACAUUUUUAACGCUGCCAAGAGCUCCCUUCUCUGUGGAUUCAUCUAAGACAACAGAUAUUAACACUAGGAUUGUGAUGGCAGUGGAGUCAGUACCAACUGACCCAAGUAUUCCUAGCCUGUGGAAUCUUUAGACUCACUUAAUUCAUUCAACAUAUACUUAUUAAGUGCCUACUGUGUCAUGAACUUCAGGGAUAUGAAAUUCUGCAAGAUAGUCUCUGCUUUUCAGUACCAGGAGCCCCAGAUAUUAUACUUAAUGUUUCAAAUAGUGGAUUCUGGGUUGCUUGAAAGUCAGUAGGCAGCCUUUUUGUCAUUAAAUUUCCUUUAUUGCUCUGAUGCAUUUUAUUUUAUAGUGACUCUGACUACUUCAGAUUGUUCACAAUAUUUUAAAACUUACGUUAUUAAGAUUGCUCAAUUCUAGGCUGUGGGAUGGGAGCCAGAUAUAUUGGAGGGAGGAGGCAAGUAAGUGCUGGAGACCUCAGGAUUUUAUUGUAGGGCACAUGGACUUUGUAUGAGAAUGUCAAAAACUCAUUUUGUCUUUAGCACAGGAAGAUGCUUGGCAAAGAGUUAAUGACACUAAAGAAUUCUUACAAAUGUUAUGGAUGGGUGUUAAUUUUCACAGAUAGGCAUUCAUUGUCAGAUGUUUAUGCUCUCCAUUCCUGAAACUCCUCCUGUCUGUGGAUCCCCAUCACAAGGAGGGGAGGGCUACCAUCCCAGCUGCAAACUCUCAUUCAAGGUUUAUGCUGCAGCCAGCAGUGUCCUUGGAGUCUAGUUCAAAGCUGAAGAGAGUGAACCAUGGAACUGGGAGCCAUUGGCGGAGAGGCUGGCCUGAAGGAAGGGAAGUGUUUCAGCCAGAAUGUACUGACGCACAACCAGGAAACCACAAGACUGGUGAGAACCUUUCCAAAACUGAGCUUUAUGAUCAAAAGAGGUACAGGAAACAGCUCUGCCAAGAGUCCUUUCUGCUCCUGGCUGGAACCCUGAGCUUCUGAGGCUCUCUGAGUCAACUCUCUGAACAGAUGCUGUCACCCAAGGAACCAUCACUAAAGCAUUUUUUUGCUUUGCUCUGAGGUGGCCUCACUGGUGGGUGCAAGUGAGUUACUGUCUCUUUUUCUCUUUCUUGUUUCUUUCUUUUGACAGAAGUUGCCAUGUGAUUACUCAAUUCUGAAUUUUAGAGGCCAUAGGUUACUGCAUUUAUGCCCUUUGCCAACUGACUAUUGUUUGGUGCUGGGCCUGCAUACAAACACGACAUCCCCAAACUCUUAUCAAUACCUAGAUCACCUGAUGUGAAUCUAUCAAUACCCUGGACUUAACAGGGUAUUGAAGGAAAGAGAACCGGCAAUUCCUUCAUUUCUUACAUCCCAGCCAGUAGUCCUUCUCCCAGGCUAGUCUUCCUUUUGUUUCCCCUAAGAAUGACUCAACUAGGAAUUGCAUUCUGAUCCCUGUCACAGAUAUAAAUCUUGUCUGGAUACAAGGUCAAAAUAAUUGUGUUCCUGUGGAUUCUUUUUCUUUUUUCAACCAGAGUAACUACCAGUUGCCAUGAAAUAAAUCACAUCAUCAUAUGGCAGAUCCAGCUAAUAGCUGAGACUGGCAGGAUAACUGAACCGUGUACUCAGAGCUAAAUGAUGGAGAAAUUGGACUGGCCAUGGAGCACUUCAAAUUGAUUGCUUAGUAAUGGGAUAUUUUUCCUGGAAAGACAACAGAAUACUUCUGAAUUGUUGGUUCUGUCAUGGGUACAGGCUCCCAUGUACAGGAAAAUAAAGAAAGUGUGAUGAAUUUUUCAUCUGGCCUUCUGCCUACUUUCUUGCUUUCUGCAUGUCUCCAUUUUUAGUCUGUAAGCCCUGCCUAGAUGACCAAUCACUAUUGCCCAUGUGGCAUAAAACCUACAAUUUAACUAUACUUCUUACCAAACUCUCAGCAAGUAUGAGGUAGCCAACAGCCUUUUCAAGAUAAUGACUGAGUCUUAGCUUAGGUUUCAGUCAUUUUAGGAAACAUAAAAAAUUCAAUGGUGGGAGAUCAUACACACUCUGCAAAGAUGUCAGAAGUCAAGUUUUGGGAGAGUCCACACACAAACUGAGCAGUGAUGGUAAAAUAUAUUUUUGAAAUAUUUCUCCUCUGUGACUGUUAUGUGAAGUAGAGCAAACACAUUGUGCUGCAGUGCUCUUUGGGACAUGCCUUUUUUGGGAAGUGCUAACUUUAUACUCUGCUGACACCAAACAUUUGAAUAUAAAACCUUAUUUUUUUCUCUCACUCUGCUCCACUUUUGGCUCAGCUUAUUCUACCAAAACACACUUCAAAAGACUUCUUUAUAGAAAGAAUGUUUCAAAAAUAUAAUAUUUCCAUCUGUUAUUUCAAUAAUACAUGCUCUGGGACUCUCUUUAUGAACCACUUUCCUUUCUUUGCUCCCAUUUAGAUGUAUAAAUAUUUGAUUGUAAAGCUCUAAGGAAUAGUCAGCCAAUCGGGUCACUGAAUUGUGAACAUUCCUAACCCUAUAAUUUUGUCUGUAGCAGGCACCUCCUGCUGUGGAACUAACUGCUAAGGGAUUAUAGCAAUGUAAUCCUCAGACUGUUCCAUCUCAAGGUUACUCUGAAGUGGAGGGAAGGAAGCCGUUUUAAUUUUGAUAAAAUAAACUUUAUUUUGUAACUU
rnacentral:lncRNA from 1 species